rnacentral:rRNA from 1 species
GACGAACGCUGGCGGCGUGCUUAACACAUGCAAGUCGAACGAAGUGGCGAACGGGUGAGUAAAGCGUAAGCAACCUGCACUUCAGAGGGGGACAACAGUUAGAAACGACGGCUAAUACCGCAUACUGAAGUAGGGGUUUGCGUCGGAUUAGCUAGUUGGAGGGGUAACGGCCCACCAAGUCGAUGAGCAGUAGCCGGUCUGAGCGGAUGAACGGCCACAGUGGGACUGAGACACGGCCCAGACUCCUACGGGAGGCAGCAGUGGGGAAUCUUCCGCAAUGGACGAAAGUCUGAAGGAGCAACUCCGCGUGAGUGAUGCCGGCCUUCGGGUUGUAAAGCUCUGUUAAUCGGGACGCGGUACCGGAAUAGAAAGCCACGGCUAACUACGUGCCAGCGGCCGCGGUAAUAC